AAAAUCUGAAAUUAAAAGUGGG
rnacentral:snRNA from 1 species